ACGCCGCUUCUUCUUUAUCUUCUCCCUAGCCGCCUUCAUCUUGUUCGUGGCUCCAGUGCCCACACGGUCACGGAGCACCAGUUCUGGUGCUGCGGAAGCAGCCAUCCGCGCCCAGGCUCGCCCUCGCUCCAUCUCUUCCCUGACGCGCGUCCUCCCUGCGUCGCGCCUCGUGCUCCGUGCGCGUGCUCAUCUCCCUCCACGCCGCGCGCCCCUGGAGUCUCCUCGCCGUGCGUCGCUGCUCCAUGGCUGGCUCCCUGAGCUCGGCCCCUGGCUUCUAUGCUACGCGCGCGCGGUUUCCUCUCUCCUCCCUUCAUUUCUCUUCAGCCGUCGCGCCCUAGUUCUCUGCUCGGCCAUGGAGGUCGCGGUUCCCUGAUCUCCUGCUCGCCUGGCCACGCCGAGCUCCAUCCAGGGCCGGAGUCUCUUUGCUCGGAUUUCGUCGGGCCCGCGAGCUCCCCUACGCGCUCGUACUCCAGCUCGGUUUUCCUUCACCGCGGCUCUCCCUGACCCAGCUUCUCUCUCCCCAUGGCCACGGCACCCCUGCUCCCUGGUACAGCGCGCAGCUUGCCUGCUCGGCUGUAGCCACCGCGCGUUCCCCUGCCCUCGGCUUCCUGCAUCGCGUGGUCGCACCCCUCCCUUGCUUCUCCAGCUCGACCGUUCCUCCUCUCUUUUCCUGCUAAUCGCGCGCCAUGGUGUUCUCUGUGCGCGCCCCAAGCUCCCAGCUUCCCCGACGUUUCCCCCUGUGUCGCGCCUGCUGCCGGCGUUUUUCCCUGACGCGCGCUCCGCCUUGCCAUCUCCCUGCACGCCGUGGUAUCCCGGCUCUUCCUAGCUCGGACCGCGCUCAGUCCCCAGCUCGCCGCGUCCGGUCGAGCUCUCUGCGCACACGUCGCGCGCAGCCGUGUCCCUAUGCUCGCCGUGGCCGGUCCCCUGCGUCGCGCCCGGGAUUUUGUCGCGCAUCCCUGCGCCCCACUGUUCCGUGACACUCGUGCUGGCUCACUUCAUCACCGAUUUCUAAAGAACCAGCUUCGUCUGUUUGUCGGUCUCAUUCUAAUUUGAUUUGGAAUUAUUGCGCCUCAGCCUUGAUCUGUCAAGGCUGUCACGGCCGCCGCCAAAUCGUUAGAGUCGUUCAACUCGCCGAUCACAUCUUGGUCGGUCGUCGAUUUCUUAUUCGCCAUGGUACAACACCGCUGUUAGAUCCUGUCUCCAACCUGUCAUGGCGCUUGCCGGACUUCGCCGGUGAAGUUCGUCGUGGUCAUCUGGUCCCAGCCCGACCCAUCCGUACGCUCGCUCCUCAUCCAUCGGGUUUCGGCGUGUUCGCGUUUACCGUCGAGUCAUCGAACCCAUCAUCCCCUGCUCGACCCCCACCUUACCAGCUCGCUCCAGACUUCAAUCGAAGGUCGUCGUCGUUCCGCGCGUCAUCAAGAAAUCCCAAACGUCGGGUGAAGACGAAGCCAGCAGCGUGGUGUUCACCAAGUGCGCGACAAAAAGCUCGAACAAGUCGUCGAUUUCGUGGUUUCAAAUCGGAUGUCAUAAGGGUACCUUAAUUAAUCAUGUGAUGCGGAAGACGACCCAAGUCGAUCCCAAGCGUGGGCUAAUCCGCAUGGUGAUGUUGAUGGAUGAACCUGAAGAUAGGAUGAUCUAAUCAAGUGCUAGGACAAGGAUGAUCGCCAAGUGGACGUCACCUAACAACACUGACCUAGUGUUAUUCAGGCAAGCCCCGGUGCAUUUGUCACCUCCUUGUGUUUUAAAAUCUUUAUCACCUUGUUUGAUGCAUUAGGUGAUAGGAGUUGUAUGCUAAACGAUUGAUGCAUUUUCUUCCUUGAAAAAUUGAUUACCCUUCCUUGAUA